CUACGGGUUGCUGCAGUGGGGAAUAUUGGACAAUGGGGGAAACCCUGAUCCAGCAAUGUCGCGUGUGUGAAGAAGGCCUGCGGGUUGUAAAGCACUUUCGGUUGGGAGGACUGCUUCUAGCACUAAUAUUGUUGGAAGUUGACGUUACCUUCAGAAGAAGCACCGGCUAACUCCGUGCCAGCAGCCGCGGUAAUACGGGGGGUGCAAGCGUGAAUCGGAAUUACUGGGCGUAAAGCGCGCGUAGGCGGCUAGAUCAGUCGGGUGUGAAAGCCCCGGGCUUAACCUGGGAACUGCAUCCGAUACUGUCUAGCUUGAGUACAGGAGAGGAGAGUGGAAUUCCACAUGUAGCGGUGAAAUGCGUAGAUAUGUGGAGGAACACCAAUGGCGAAGGCAGCUCUCUGGCCUGAUACUGACGCUGAGGUGCGAAAGCGUGGGGAGCAAACAGGAUUAGAUACCCCAGUAGUC
rnacentral:rRNA from 1 species